GUUUGUGAUGAUGCAAUCUACCCGCGGCUAGACGGAAAGACCCCAUGAACCUUUACUGUAGCUUUGCAUUGGACUUUGAACCGAUCUGUGUAGGAUAGGUGGGAGGCUAUGAAACCGGAACGCUAGUUUCGGUGGAGCCGUCCUUGAAAUACCACCCUGGUUUGUUUGAGGUUCUAACCUUGGCCCGUGAUCCGGGUCGGGGACAGUGCAUGGUAGGCAGUUUGACUGGGGCGGUCUCCUCCCAAAGCGUAACGGAGGAGUACGAAGGUACGCUAGGUACGGUCGGAAAUCGUGCUGAUAGUGCAAUGGCAUAAGCGUGCUUAACUGCGAGACCGACAAGUCGAGCAGGUGCGAAAGCAGGUCAUAGUGAUCCGGUGGUUCUGUAUGGAAGGGCCAUCGCUCAACGGAUAAAAGGUACUCUGGGGAUAACAGGCUGAUACCGCCCAAGAGUUCAUAUCGACGGCGGUGUUUGGCACCUCGAUGUCGGCUCAUCUCAUCCUGGGGCUGUAGCCGGUCCCAAGGGUAUGGCUGUUCGCCAUUUAAAGAGGUACGUGAGCUGGGUUUAAAACGUCGUGAGACAGUUUGGUCCCUAUCUGCCGUGGGCGUUGGAUAUUUGAAGGGGGCUGCUCCUAGUACGAGAGGACCGGAGUGGACGAACCUCUGGUGUACCGGUUGUCACGCCAGUGGCAUCGCCGGGUAGCUAUGUUCGGAAGAGAUAACCGCUGAAAGCAUCUAAGCGGGAAACUCGCCUUAAGAUGAGAUAUCCCUGGGGACUAGAUCCCCUUGAAGGGUCGUUCGAGACCAGGACGUUGAUAGGUCGGGUGUGUAAGCGCAGUAAUGCGUUCAGCUAACCGAUACUAAUUGCCCGUAAGGCUUGAUCCUAUAACA
rnacentral:rRNA from 1 species